rnacentral:rRNA from 1 species
UGCCAGCAGCCGCGGUAAUACAUAGGGGGCAAGCGUUAUUCGGAAUCACUGGGCUUAAAGGGUGCGUAGGCGGCGUGGCAAGUCGGAUGUGAAAUCCCUCAGCUCAACUGGGGAACUGCGUCCGAAACUGCCAUGCUCGAGGGAGACAGGGGUGAGCGGAACUCACGGUGGAGCGGUGAAAUGCGUUGAUAUCGUGAGGGACACCGGUGGCGAAAGCGGCUCACUGGGUCUCUUCUGACGCUGAGGCACGAAAGCUAGGGGAGCGAACGGGAUUAGAUA